rnacentral:rRNA from 1 species
GGCGCACGGGUGAGUAACGCGUGGGUAAUCUACCUCCGAAUUUGGGAUAACACUUCGAAAGGAGUGCUAAUACCGGAUGAUAUCCAUUGGGCUUUGGUCUGAUGGAUCAAAGAUAGCCGAUCCUUGGAAGCUAUUGUUUGGAGAUGAGCCCGCGUCCCAUUAGCUAGUUGGUAGGGUAACGGCCUACCAAGGCGACGAUGGGUAGCUGGUCUGAGAGGAUGAUCAGCCACACUGGAACUGGAACACGGUCCAGACUCCUACGGGAGGCAGCAGUGAGGAAUUUUGCGCAAUGGGGGCAACCCUGACGCAGCAACGCCGCGUGAGUGAUGAAGGCCUUCGGGUCGUAAAGCUCUGUCAAGUGGGAAGAACCUGAUUGUGGUGAACAGCCAUGGUCACUGACGGUACCACUGAAGGAAGCACCGGCUAACUCCGUGCCAGCAGCCGCGGUAAUACGGAGGGUGCAAGCGUUAUUCGGAUUUACUGGGCGUAAAGGGCGCGUAGGCGGUUGGACAAGUCAGAUGUGAAAUCCCGGGGCUUAACUCCGGAAGUGCAUCUGAUACUGUUUGGCUUGAGUAUGGUA